CCCCGACAACCACGUUAAAUAGGGAGUGUACCCGUAUUUUAAUGUUAUGUUUGUGCUCUAGGGAAAAUCUAAAUCUGUUUAUCUGUUAACUGAUUUGUUUACAUAGCCGCUUUUAUAAGAGGUGUGCAUAACAAAUUAAAUGUUUACAUAUGGCUGUGUGUUUUAAAGUUAUAUAAAACCGGUUCUUAAUUUCAUAAAAGUGUUUUAAUUUUGUUAAGUUUUAAACGUAAUAACAAAGGAUCCAGCUGCUUGCAACAGCAGGCAGACAGACGCGCGCGCGUGUUGAAGGUCACGCCUGGGCGGGCAAGCCAACCUGCUGACUGACGAAGAUGACUGGACAUCACAUCAACUCCGGCCUGCAAUGACACAACAUGCUGUGAUGCUGCGGUCGCAAUGGCCAAUUUUCAUCUUUGGGGCCAUCCGACCGGCAGGGCACUCAUGACUGAUCAUUGUUCUGAGAUGUCACAAAUUAUGUAUGCUAAAUAAAAUGUCUACCAGCAGUUGCUUUUA